AUCCAACUAAAGAGUCCCAAAUAGGACGAAACGCGCGUCCUGGAU
rnacentral:hammerhead_ribozyme from 1 species